rnacentral:rRNA from 1 species
CCAGACUCCUACGGGAGGCAGCAGUGGGGAAUAUUGCACAAUGGGCGCAAGCCUGAUGCAGCGACGCCGCGUGAGGGAUGGAGGCCUUCGGGUUGUGAACCUCUUUCGCCAGUGAAGCAGGCCUGCUCCUUGUGGGUGGGUUGACGGUAGCUGGAUAAGAAGCGCCGGCUAACUACGUGCCAGCAGCCGCGGUAAUACGUAGGGCGCGAGCGUUGUCCGGAAUUAUUGGGCGUAAAGAGCUCGUAGGCGGCUGGUCGCGUCUGUCGUGAAAUCCUCUGGCUUAACUGGGGGCUUGCGGUGGGUACGGGCCGGCUUGAGUGCGGUAGGGGAGACUGGAACUCCUGGUGUAGCGGUGGAAUGCGCAGAUAUCAGGAAGAACACCGGUGGCGAAGGCGGGUCUCUGGGCCGUUACUGACGCUGAGGAGCGAAAGCGUGGGGAGCGAACAGGAUUAGAUACCCUGGUAGUCCACGCCGUAAACGUUGGGCACUAGGUGUGGGGGGCCUUUUCCGGGUCUUCCGCGCCGUAGCUAACGCAUUAAGUGCCCCGCCUGGGGAGUACGGCCGCAAGGCUAAAACUCAAAGGAAUUGACGGGGGCCCGCACAAG